GAACGAACGCUGGCGGCAUGCCUAACACAUGCAAGUCGAACGAUCCCUUCGGGGAUAGUGGCGCACGGGUGCGUAACGCGUGGGAACCUGCCCUUAGGUUCGGAAUAACUCAGAGAAAUUUGAGCUAAUACCGGAUAAUGUCUUCGGACCAAAGAUUUAUCGCCUUUGGAUGGGCCCGCGUUGGAUUAGCUAGUUGGUGGGGUAAAGGCCUACCAAGGCGACGAUCCAUAGCUGGUCUGAGAGUAUGAUCAGCCACACUGGGACUGAGACACGGCCCAGACUCCUACGGGAGGCAGCAGUGGGGAAUAUUGGACAAUGGGCGAAAGCCUGAUCCAGCAAUGCCGCGUGAGUGAUGAAGGCCUUAGGGUUGUAAAGCUCUUUUACCCGGGAUGAUAAUGACAGUACCGGGAGAAUAAGCCCCGGCUAACUCCGUG
rnacentral:rRNA from 1 species